GGCCCAGUAGAUUAUUUAGUCAAAGCGUUCGUCUAGCAUACAAAAGAUGUGGGCUCAAAUCCCACCUGAGUAU
rnacentral:tRNA from 1 species